rnacentral:rRNA from 1 species
UACGUAGGUGGCAAGCGUUGUCCGGAUUUACUGGGCGUAAAGAGCGCGCAGGCGGUCAGAUAAGUCGAAUGUGAAAGCCCCCGGCUCAACUGGGGAGGGUCAUUCGAUACUGUUCGGCUCGAAGGCAGGAGAGGGAAGUGGAAUUCCCGGUGUAGUGGUGAAAUGCGUAGAUAUCGGGAGGAACACCAGUGGCGAAGGCGACUUCCUGGCCUGUUCUUGACGCUGAGGCGCGAAAGCUAGGGGAGCA